AGUCUAGGCAGGAUAGGUACAUAUGCUUCUGAGAAACCAAAUGAAGCGGCUGGGUAGGUAACAAUUCACUUUCAGACAGUGGAUCCAAAGUCCCUUCCAGCCCUGCCCUUCUCUGAACUAAUUAAGUUACCAGAUGCUACUGUGAGUUUCUCCUGUGCUCCAUUGAAUUUAUUUUUACUCUUCACUGGGAAAGAACUGUGCAGGUAGGAGGUUCCCAUCUUUUGAAUAUAUUUAGACACAAGACAGUUUUGUAACAUGACCAUUGAGACCCUCCUAAACCUCAGUGAGCCUUGCAGAGCCAGAGCACACAGUGAGAGAUGGCCUCCAGUUCCUUGUGACAAGUACUGACACCGGGACCUUGGUGACCCAUCACUGCAGAACUAUCUGAGAAUCCAGGGGACAAAAUGUCCCUCUGGCAUCCUCCUUGCAUCUUUAACUCUUCUGGGAAAAAAAUCUUCCAAUUAUUCAACGAACAGCAGCAGGUUUCUCUCCUGCAUUGGUGCCAGUGUGCACCUGCUUGGCUUUGAAGUAAGUACUCUGAGGUUUUCUGGUGCCUUACAGAAGCAGAGAAGAGACCACCCUAGAGGGAUGCUGGCAUGUAACUUCCCCAUGUCACUGAAAGCUCUAGACAAAAGGUACUUCAUACCUUGAACCUAAAACUGUUUGGAAUAAGUCAGUGCACUGUGGGGCUGAAGGGCAGGGUUUUGUUUGUUUCAACUGACCUUCGUUCAUGGUCUGAUUUUUGCCGCUCCCCAGUCUAACUCUUGCAUCAUGGGACAAUUGAACCAAGUCCACAAGAAUAUGGCUUUCUUCAAAAGCAUGAUUAUUGACGGUUGUUUCUAUGACAAAGGUGGCCUGAUGGUAUCUUCCUAUUUGAGUGAAAGGGAAGAUAAAAAUGAAUGAGAUUGUCAAACAUGGCUGAAAACUUAAUUUCAGUCUGUGUCAUUUCCAUUCCCAACUGGAAUAAUACUAUACAGUGUUCAUAAACAUGAUCUUGGAAGUGAUGGGAGGGGAACCAGUACAGCUCUCAUUUAGACUCCUCACUGUGGUGAGUACAAGGCCAGCAGAGGUGGGAGGGCAAGGGAGGAGGGUGCCCUGAACUUUGCCUGGGUCACCAACCAGCUGUGCAAACUCCAACUGGCUCUCUCCAGGGGAGCAGAGGGAGGGUGUGAGGUUAGUACAACAGCCAAAGAACGUUGACAGAUACCAGGGACUUCUGUCACUUCUAUGAAAACAAGCUGCACACAGACACCUCUGAGGGAGUUGGAGCACAGGCUACCCCCUUGAACCUGGGUCUGAAGCUCAGGUUUUUCCCAACCGGUUUUUCAUGGCCAGUGAGGGAAGGGUAUAGGAACCACUGGCUGGGGUGCCUGGCCUUCUCCAUCCCUUGGAGGACAGAAUGAGGAACUUGAAGCUGUAAAGCACAAUACUGUUUGGGAAUAUGCACAUUUUCUAACCAGGUCCCAGGAAUCUAAAAGGACUCUCCCAUAGCUGUGUUACCAAACCCAGGGUCAAAUGUUGGCAGCCCCCCCCUCCUGUCCCGGUUAGCCUCUCGGCACCACAGGGGAGUGGUCCAGUGACAUGUAGACUCCUCUCCUGAUGGAUGCUCUACAGCAGGACCCCACUGAGUGACUGGAAGUGGCUCAGUUGCUGUCCGUAGUACAGUGAACAGAGUGUUUGCUGUUUGUCAGCCACUCCCGACACUACUCAGACCUGUGUACCUCAGGCUCAGUACCCCACCAGGCUUUCCAAUGACGGUUCUGUCUUGUGUCAAUUAGGAUGUUUUCUUGUUACCCAGAAGUAUUUUUCUAUGUGAGUGAAAUGUAUACUUUGUGUAAUUUUUGUACAUUAAAACAUAUGCUUUUUACCAUAA
rnacentral:lncRNA from 1 species